rnacentral:rRNA from 1 species
GAAUAUUGGACAAUGGGCGCAAGCCUGAUCCAGCCAUACCGCGUGGGUGAAGAAGGCCUUCGGGUUGUAAAGCCCUUUUGUUGGGAAAGAAAAGCAGUCGGCUAAUACCCGGUUGUUCUGACGGUACCCAAAGAAUAAGCACCGGCUAACUUCGUGCAAGGCGCCGAGGUAAUACGAAGGGUGCAAGUGUUACGCGGAAUUAGUGGGCGUAAAGCGUGCGUAGGUGGGUGUUUAAGGCUGUUGUGAAAGCCCUGGGCUCAAACUGGGAAUUGCAGUGGAUACUGGGCGACUAGAGUGUGGUAGAGGGUAGUGGAAUUCCCGGUGUAGCAGUGAAAUGCGUAGAGAUCGGGAGGAACAUCCAUGGCGAAGGCAGCUACCUGGACCAACACUGACACUGAGGCACGAAAGCGUGGGGAGCAAACAGG